GGGUUGUGAGGUUAAGCGACUAAGCGUACACGGUGGAUGCCCUGGCAGUCAGAGGCGAUGAAGGACGUGCUAAUCUGCGAUAAGCGUCGGUAAGGUGAUAUGAACCGUUAUAACCGGCGAUUUCCGAAUGGGGAAACCCAGUGUGAUUCGUCACACUAUCAUUAACUGAAUCCAUAGGUUAAUGAGGCGAACCGGGGGAACUGAAACAUCUAAGUACCCCGAGGAAAAGAAAUCAACCGAGAUUCCCCCAGUAGCGGCGAGCGAACGGGGAGCAGCCCAGAGCCUGAAUCAGUGUGUGUGUUAGUGGAAGCGUCUGGAAAGGCGUGCGAUACAGGGUGACAGCCCCGUACACAAAAAUGCACAUAUUGUGAGCUCGAUGAGUAGGGCGGGACACGUGGUAUCCUGUCUGAAUAUGGGGGGACCAUCCUCCAAGGCUAAAUACUCCUGACUGACCGAUAGUGAACCAGUACCGUGAGGGAAAGGCGAAAAGAACCCCGGCGAGGGGAGUGAAAAAGAACCUGAAACCGUGUACGUACAAGCAGUGGGAGCACAGAGCAAUCUGUGUGACUGCGUACCUUUUGUAUAAUGGGUCAGCGACUUAUAUUCUGUAGCAAGGUUAACCGAAUAGGGGAGCCGAAGGGAAACCGAGUCUUAACUGGGCGUUAAGUUGCAGGGUAUAGACCCGAAACCCGGUGAUCUAGCCAUGGGCAGGUUGAAGGUUGGGUAACACUAACUGGAGGACCGAACCGACUAAUGUUGAAAAAUUAGCGGAUGACUUGUGGCUGGGGGUGAAAGGCCAAUCAAACCGGGAGAUAGCUGGUUCUCCCCGAAAGCUAUUUAGGUAGCGCCUCGUGAAUUCAUCUCCGGGGGUAGAGCACUGUUUCGGCAAGGGGGUCAUCCCGACUUACCAACCCGAUGCAAACUGCGAAUACCGGAGAAUGUUAUCACGGGAGACACACGGCGGGUGCUAACGUCCGUCGUGAAGAGGGAAACAACCCAGACCGCCAGCUAAGGUCCCAAAGUCAUGGUUAAGUGGGAAACGAUGUGGGAAGGCCCAGACAGCCAGGAUGUUGGCUUAGAAGCAGCCAUCAUUUAAAGAAAGCGUAAUAGCUCACUGGUCGAGUCGGCCUGCGCGGAAGAUGUAACGGGGCUAAACCAUGCACCGAAGCUGCGGCAGCGACGCUGAUGCGUUGUUGGGUAGGGGAGCGUUCUGUAAGCCUGCGAAGGUGUGCUGUGAGGCAUGCUGGAGGUAUCAGAAGUGCGAAUGCUGACAUAAGUAACGAUAAAGCGGGUGAAAAGCCCGCUCGCCGGAAGACCAAGGGUUCCUGUCCAACGUUAAUCGGGGCAGGGUGAGUCGACCCCUAAGGCGAGGCCGAAAGGCGUAGUCGAUGGGAAACAGGUUAAUAUUCCUGUACUUGGUGUUACUGCGAAGGGGGGACGGAGAAGGCUAUGUUGGCCGGGCGACGGUUGUCCCGGUUUAAGCGUGUAGGCUGGUUUUCCAGGCAAAUCCGGAAAACUAAGGCUGAGGCGUGAUGACGAGGCACUACGGUGCUGAAGCAACAAAUGCCCUGCUUCCAGGAAAAGCCUCUAAGCAUCAGGUAACAUCAAAUCGUACCCCAAACCGACACAGGUGGUCAGGUAGAGAAUACCAAGGCGCUUGAGAGAACUCGGGUGAAGGAACUAGGCAAAAUGGUGCCGUAACUUCGGGAGAAGGCACGCUGAUAUGUAGGUGAAGCGACUUGCUCGUGGAGCUGAAAUCAGUCGAAGAUACCAGCUGGCUGCAACUGUUUAUUAAAAACACAGCACUGUGCAAACACGAAAGUGGACGUAUACGGUGUGACGCCUGCCCGGUGCCGGAAGGUUAAUUGAUGGGGUCAGCGCAAGCGAAGCUCUUGAUCGAAGCCCCGGUAAACGGCGGCCGUAACUAUAACGGUCCUAAGGUAGCGAAAUUCCUUGUCGGGUAAGUUCCGACCUGCACGAAUGGCGUAAUGAUGGCCAGGCUGUCUCCACCCGAGACUCAGUGAAAUUGAACUCGCUGUGAAGAUGCAGUGUACCCGCGGCAAGACGGAAAGACCCCGUGAACCUUUACUAUAGCUUGACACUGAACAUUGAGCCUUGAUGUGUAGGAUAGGUGGGAGGCUUUGAAGUGUGGACGCCAGUCUGCAUGGAGCCGACCUUGAAAUACCACCCUUUAAUGUUU
rnacentral:rRNA from 1 species